rnacentral:rRNA from 1 species
UACGGAGGGUGCAAGCGUUAUCCGGAUUCACUGGGUUUAAAGGGUGCGUAGGCGGGCAGAUAAGUCAGUGGUGAAAUCCCCGAGCUUAACUUGGGAACUGCCAUUGAUACUAUUUGUCUUGAAUGUCGUGGAGGUUAGCGGAAUAUGUCAUGUAGCGGUGAAAUGCUUAGAUAUGACAUAGAACACCCAUUGCGAAGGCAGCUAACUACGCGAAUAUUGACGCUGAGGCGCGAAAGCGUGGGGAGCGAACAGG